UCCUUACAAGUCAUAGACAUAAUUUUUUCUACUACUACAACGAAUUGUUGCGAAAUAUGUAAAAUUCCGACCAGAGUUAGUGGUAGACAAUCCACUAAUAGUUCUGUAUGCUGUGGGUAGGUAUAACAAAUCCAUGUGGCAUUUGAGCGACUCUCAUUAGUCUAAAUGACCCAGAACGAACGAUUCACUACACAUGCGAAAGAAAUGUCAAAGGUUUGUUCGUUGUAUUUCUGUUUAGCACAGACGUGUUUAGUAAUCGAAAAUGUACAUAUUACGGUUAAAGUAGACAUUUGGUAAAUGUGCACAUGUUAACACUACUCCCAUUUGUAUGUUAGUUUUCACGCUCCCCAAGGUAAUGCCUACUGAGGAAAUCUGUUCUGGUCCUGGAUCACCAACGACUUAUUGUUACCUGUUUGGAUGUUCUUUUCGUAUAGUGCUGUGAGGUAUAUUAAUUGUAGCGAUAUGCAACUUCACACGUUUGGUUGUAGGUAGGUAUAGCUACUCGUGGCUUAUGUUCUUAGGAAUGGACCUCAAGAUAAACACGUGGCUUAAGCUGUUGUGAGUGGACCUCAAGAUAAGACUUGUGAACAAAACGCUAAGUGUUUCGGGAUCUGAUGAGGAUUGGAUUGCUUUUUAAAAGGGCCUGCAACUUAGCGUAGCUGCUUGUGUCGACAUUAUUGUUCAAAAGUAAUUUAGAUCGUAACAUGGGAUACGUUUUGCACAAUGUUGUAGAUGCUUUAAUUGCCUGUGAUAAUAUAAGCCAACACUACGUUUUCUGAAAAUAAGUGUUUUUUCCUCAUCCCCCGCUCCAAAGAUUUGUCCCUACACUGCUUUUGAUUUUCCGAGAAGUAAUAAUGUUUUGGCAUUUUCUGCUGCCGCGGUGAUUUCCGGGGGAGUAUUUGAAAAUUGCAUUGGACCACCACUGCUGCUAAUUUGCGCUACAGGCAAUUAAAAUUCAAAAUAACUGGUAUGUCGCCACAUGUGCUCAUUCCAUCACAAGAGUUAGAAUGAAAUUAUUCCACUUCAGUAUAACAGAAUAGGCGACAUUCUGUUGUUAAA